rnacentral:rRNA from 1 species
UCCACGGUUUCCGCGCCGCAGCUAACGCAUUAAGUGCCCCGCCUGGGGAGUACGGCCGCAAGGCUAAAACUCAAAGGAAUUGACGGGGGCCCGCACAAGCGGCGGAGCAUGCGGAUUAAUUCGAUGCAACGCGAAGAACCUUACCAAGGCUUGACAUGUUCUCGAUCGCCGUAGAGAUACGGUUUCCCCUUUGGGGCGGGUUCACAGGUGGUGCAUGGUUGUCGUCAGCUCGUGUCGUGAGAUGUUGGGUUAAGUCCCGCAACGAGCGCAACCCUCGUUCCAUGUUGCCAGCACGUAAUGGUGGGGACUCAUGGGAGACUGCCGGGGUCAACUCGGAGGAAGGUGAGGACGACGUCAAAUCAUCAUGCCCCUUAUGUCUUGGGCUUCACGCAUGCUACAAUGGCCGGUACAAUGGGUUGCGAUACUGUGAGGUGGAGCUAAUCCCAAAAAGCCGGUCUCAGUUCGGAUUGGGGUCUGCAACUCGACCCCAUGAAGUCGGAGUCGCUAGUAAUCGCAGAUCAGCAACGCUGCGGUGAAUACGUUCCCGGGCCUUGUACACACCGCCCGUCAAGUCACGA